rnacentral:pre_miRNA from 1 species
UGAUGAUGAUGAUGAUGAUGAUGAUGAUGACGUUGAUGGUGGUGAUGAUGAUGAUGAUGAUGAUAACGAUCAUCAUCAUCAUCAUCGUCAUCACAAUCA